AAGGCAAACAAAACAGCAAACAGCAAUCCGCAUGAAGAGCGGUCCAACGAAGGUUCCAGGGAUUAGCAGAGGCGUAGUCAGGCAGUCCGAGGGUCAAGGCAAGGAAGACUCACGAGUCUGGUUCCGGCAGGGUUGUUCACACGAUCAGGAAACACGAAGCUGCAAACAAGAGCUCACGGCAGGAGUUAAACACAAGGCACACGGUGAAUCCCGGCUGCGCCAUUGUUGCCAGUCAGUACUUCGGGCUCCAUCCUGCAAAGUAUUAUCUGCAACCCAAGUAUCAUCAAAACCCUGGAAUUCAUCACUAGAGGUGGGAGCAGUAAUCACAUCCAUUACUUCCUGAACUUUAGUCCAGUCCAGCUCUUCCUCUUCGCUGUCAAACUCCCCACAAUCAGCUAUAUCUCUAAGGCGUUUAGCAACAGAUCCCACAUCGCUAUUCGAGCUGCUGGCUACUCUCUUUACACCUCUGUAAUCUUCCAGCUCCAUUUCCUCGCGAGUAAAA